rnacentral:tRNA from 1 species
GUGGUGGCUCAGUGGUAAAGUGCUUGCCUUGCAUGCAUGAGGCACUAGGUUCAAAUCUCAGCACCACA